GACGAACGCUGGCGGCGUGCCUAAUACAUGCAAGUCGAGCGAAUCAAUGGGAGCUUGCUCCCUGAGAUUAGCGGCGGACGGGUGAGUAACACGUGGGUAACCUGCCUGUAAGACUGGGAUAACUUCGGGAAACCGGAGCUAAUACCGGAUAGUUUCUUUUCUCGCAUGAGAGAAGAUGGAAAGAUGGUUUCGGCUAUCACUUACAGAUGGACCCGCGGCGCAUUAGCUAGUUGGUGAGGUAACGGCUCACCAAGGCGACGAUGCGUAGCCGACGUGGAGGGGUGAUCGGCCACACUGGGACUGAGACACGGCCCAGAGUGCUACGGGAGGCAGCAGUAGGGAAUCUUCCGCAGUGGAGGGGAGUCUGACGGAGCAACGCCGCGUGAGCGCAGAAGGCCUGCGGGUCGUAAAGCUCUGUUGUUAGGGAAGAACAAGUACGAGAGUAACUGCUCGUACCCUGACGGUACCUAACCAGAAAGCCACGGCUAACUACGUGCCAGCCGCCGCAGUAACAC
rnacentral:rRNA from 1 species